rnacentral:rRNA from 1 species
GCUUACGGCCAUACCACCUUAGGCACGCCCGAUCUCGUCUGAUCUCGGAAGCUAAGCAGGGUCGGGCCUGGUUAGUACUGGGAUGAGUGACCGCCUGGGAAUACCAGGUGCUGUAAGCA